CCUACGGGGGGCUGCAGUGGGGAAUAUUGGACAAUGGGGGGAACCCUGAUCCAGCCAUGCCGCGUGUGUGAAGAAGGCCCUCGGGUUGUAAAGCACUUUCAGUGAGGAAGAACGCCUGGUGGUUAAUACCCAUCAGGAAAGACAUCACUCACAGAAGAAGCACCGGCUAACUCCGUGCCAGCAGCCGCGGUAAUACGGAGGGUGCGAGCGUUAUCGGAAUUACUGGGCGUAAAGCGCGCGUAGGUGGCUUGAUAAGCCGGUUGUGAAAGCCCCGGGCUCAACCUGGGAACGGCAUCCGGAACUGUCAAGCUAGAGUGCAGGAGAGGAAGGUAGAAUUCCCGGGGUAGCGGUGAAAUGCGUAGAGAUCGGGAGGAAUACCAGUGGCGAAGGCGGCCUUCUGGACUGACACUGACACUGAGGUGCGAAAGCGUGGGUAGCAAACAGGAUUAGAUACCCUAGUAGUC
rnacentral:rRNA from 1 species